CUGUGUCUGAAUCCACAGGGUAAGCUGUUUUCUGCAGCACCCCUUCUCCCCGGCUCUCCCGUGGACCAAGCCUGUCUCUCAUCCGUGGGUGCCUGCUGCUCUAAGAGGCCUCUAGCCCUUGGAAAUACCAGGAGGGUGGGCACUGUAUCCCACGUGCGGCCACCUUCAGGGAGGAUAAACCCAACCCCUGUGGAUGGAGCUCUAGAAUGACGAGGCGGGGAGGAGGGGUGGUCCAGGAGGGGGCACUCCCUCGGCCUGAGCAUUGGCGGCUCUCCCCACCCAUCCUCUCUGGGCUGGGGCAGGACAGGCCGGAUGGUGGGGCAUUGCGGGAGGCUGGCGGCCCUGGCUGGCAAAGCCCUCAACAGAAUUUGCUUUGGAAGCACAAGAAAGGGCAUCUGGGCCCCUGCUGAAGCUCUCUCUCUUGGGGGGGGGCGGGCCUCGCCACUGAGCAGACCCCCCAACUCGUGUCUGGUACGUGUCCAUCUGCCUGCUCUCCCCUCACCCUGACACUCACAGUUGUUUGAGGGAUGGGCUGUUGUACUCAUGUUCUGAGGCUGCUGCAGCAAAGAUCUGCAGACCGGGGGUCCUAAAACCACAGGAGCUUAUUCUCUCAGGCUCCGGAGGCCAGAAGUCCAGCAUCCAGGUGUGGACACACCGUGCUCCCUCUGGAGGUCUGGGGGAGUGGCCUCCAGCUUCCAGAUGUCAUCAGUCUGGCCUUCCAGGGCUCGAAGCCGCAGCCCCUCGAAGUCUGUCCCUGCAGUCACGCAGCCUUCUCCCCUGGGGGUCUGUCUCCACACUUCCCUCUUAUGAGAACACCAGCGUCCUGGACCGAGGCCCAACCCAAGGACCUCUUGGUGACUUGAUGACACGGUCCCAAUCGCAGCCUGGAACAUGGAUGUGAUGUCUGGAGCUGUGGCAACCCUCUGUGAGCACGACGGAAGCCAAACAUGAUUGCAGAGAUGCUGGUCUGACAUGACUGGGCUGCUGAGCAGACGUGCCUGCCUCCAGGACUCUUGUUAUGGGAGAAAAAUAAACCCCUGUUGGUCCAAACCA
rnacentral:lncRNA from 1 species